AUCGCUUCUCAGGCUUUUGGCUAAGAUCAAGUGUGGUAUCUGUCCUUAUCAGUUUAAUGUCUGGGGCUUCCCUCAUAGCUCAGUUGGUAAAGAAUCCGCC
ensembl:snRNA U2 U2 spliceosomal RNA